CCUACGGGUGACAGCAGUGAGGAAUAUUGGUCAAUGGCCGAGAGGCUGAACCAGCCAAGUCGCGUGAGGGAAGACGGCCCUACGGGUUGUAAACCUCUUUUGUCGGGGAGCAAAGCGAGUCACGUGUGACUCAUUGAGAGUCCCCGAAGAAAAAGCAUCGGCAAACUCCGUGCCAGCAGCCGCGGUAAUACGGGGGAUGCGAGCGUUAUCCGGAUUUAUUGGGGUAAAGGGGUGCUCAGACGGAGGUGCAAGUCAGCGGUAAAAUUACGGGGCUCAACCCCGUACUGCCUUUGAAACUGCAGUCCUUGAGAGGUCGAGAGGCAUGCGGAAGGCGUGGGGUAGCGGGGAAAUGCGUAGAUAUAACGCAGAACUCCGAUGGCGAAGGCAGCAUACUGGCGCGUAACUGACGCUGAUGCACGAAAGCGUGGGUAGCGAACAGGAUUAGAUACCCGAGUAGUC
rnacentral:rRNA from 1 species